rnacentral:lncRNA from 1 species
UUUGAUAGGCCCCCAAUCACGCACAUGUAUUCUAGAAGAAUCAAGAGAAGGGGAGGGAGUGGGGGUAGUAACUAAUUCUGUUAGGAAUCUGUUUUGGCACACUUAUAAAUAAGAGGGGAGAAAGGAGGAGAGGUAUGACCUGAUUGAUGUAAGUGCCAUUUAGGAGAGAUCCGGCCCUCUCGAAAGGCUGCCUAUUAUCAUUUAGUUGCUGUAACUCGUUGUUUUCAUUACUAUAAAAGUUCUUCUAGCUUCCAUAUACCAUUGUUGCUGUGUCCCAUCACUAUUUUCCAUUUUUAUCCCAUCAAUAUUGGUAUCAGAGCACCCAAAAUCAGCCCAAAUAAGAACCAUGACACUUGCGGACAGAAUGGGAGAAUUGGAACAAAGGGUUGAGAGUAACCAUCAGGAGAUGCAGACCGGUCUCGAAAUCCUUCGAUCGGAGUUUAAGUCGAUACAUUCCAAGUUCAAUCUUCUGCUGCGCACUUGGGAAAAUCAGGAAAGGGAACGAAAGGAUAAGGGCCCAGCCAUGGAAAACUCCCCGGUGGCACAACAGGAAUCUGGGGUAACACAGUCCAGCUUAAAGGGGAGUCAGAACAACGUGGGGUCAGGCAAUGAUUGGAGGUCGGAACCACGAGUCCGACGGUUGGAGAUGCCCGUUUUUGAGGGAGAUGAUCCAGAUGGGUGGAUAUUUCGUGUGGAGAGGUAUCUUAGCCUCAACCGAAUAAGUGAAGAGGAUAAAGUGGAGGCAGUUGUUGUGUGUUUUGACGGUGAAGCCCUGGCGUGGUAUAAGUGGGAAGAGAAACGAAGGCCACCAACAAAUUGGGAGGAUCUAAAGGCUCAACUCCUUCGCCGAUUUCGGUCCACACAGGGAGGGUCCUUGUGCGCUCAAUUUCUCUCUAUCCGGCAAGAGGACACGGUCAGAAAUUACCGCCGGAGGUUUGGAAAAUUUGCCACGCCGUUGAAAGACAUCUCUGAAGAGAUGCUGGAGUCAAUUUUUCUUAAUGGGUUGGUGCCAGAAAUCAGAGCAGAAGUCUAUUUACUCAGACCGGUGGGCCUGGAGCAGAUGAUGGAGAUAGCCCAAAUGGUGGAGGACCGAAAUAUUGUUAGCCAAACUACCCAUACCAAUUUAAGCCCAAUUAAACCCAAAAGUAUCCCAUACAAUAGCCCAAAUCCCCCACAAACCCAGAUCGCCCAAGCCCGAACCACAAUUCCCUUACAUCUAACCACAAAUCAUCCCAACCCAUAUUCCAAAUCGUCCGCACCCUUCAGGAGGCUCACUGACGCAGAGCUUCAAAGAAAGAAAGAAAGAGGCCUAUGCUACCGUUGUGACGAAAAAUUUACUAUUGGCCAUAAAUUAAGAGUAAGGAGCUGCAAGUACUGGUGAUUCGGGAGUUGGAAGACUCGGAGCAGGCGGUGCCGGAAGAGUUGGUGGGAGGCGGAGUCGCGAUGGACGACCAGGUAGCGACCGAACCGGGGGGAGGUUCGAUGGGUCAACCGGUCGAACUCUCCAUUAAUUCGGUGGUUGGGCUCACGGCACCUGGAACGAUGAAGCUACAGGGAUGGAUUGGCCAGAAGAAGGUGGUGGUACUAGUGGAUAGUAGGGCUUCUCAUAAUUUCAUCUCAGCUGGACUGGUGUAGGAUGAAGGACUUCCAUUGUCGGGCACGAUCGGAUAUGGGGUAAUAAUGGGCACAGGUUUGACCGUGAAAGGGGAAGGCGUGUGCAGACAAAUAAGGUUGAAGCUGCCGGGCCUGGAAGUGGUGGAAGACUUCCUGCCCUUGGAUUUGGGGAGUUCCGAUGUCAUACUCGGAAUGCAGUGGCUACGGAAAUUAGGAAGGAUGCAAGUCGACUGGAAGAAUCUCACAAUGUCCUUCGCCAAGGAAGGGGUGACUGUUAAUUUACAAGGAGAUCCGAGCCUUAGUAAAAUUCCAGUGUCAUUGAAAUCCAUGUGGAAGGCUUUCAAGGAACAAGGCGAGGGGCUGUUACUGGAAUUAGGGAACAUCACGUUAUCCCACAAUCCACCUUUGCAAAGGCCACCGGAAAUUGUUGAAGAAGUGCUGGAAGAAUAUAACGCAGUCUUUGAGGAUAUCACACAGUUGCCUCCCAAACGAAGACAAGACCAUGCAGUAGUGUUAAAGUCUGGGGCUGAACCAGUAAGUGUCCGACCGUACCGAUAUCCCCACUUUCAAAAAAAUGAAAUUAAGCGACUAGUGCGAGAGAUGUUGGCAGCCGGUAUCAUUCAACACAGCACCAGCCCUUUCUCAAGCCCGGUACUCUUAGUAAAAAAGAAGGAUGGGAGUUGGCGUUUUUGUGUAGAUUACCGAGCUUUAAACAAAGUGACUGUGCCUGACAAAUUUCCAAUCCCUGUCAUCGAUGAAUUACUGGAUGAGUUACAUGGAGCUAAGAUAUUCUCAAAAAUCGACCUCCGAUCAGGUUACCACCAGAUUCGGGUUAAGGCGGAAGACGUGCCAAAGACUGCGUUUCGAACUCAUGAAGGACAUUAUGAAUUCCUGGUCAUGCCCUUCGGCUUGACUAACACACCGGCCACCUUUCAGUCCUUAAUGAAUGAUAUUUUCAGAGAUAUGCUCAGGAAGUGUGUUUUGGUGUUCUUUGACGACAUAUUGGUAUACAGUCAGACGGAAGAGGAGCACAAAGACCACUUGAGGGAUGUAUUGCAGAUCCUGGUAAACAACCGGCUUUUCGCCAACAAGAAAAAGUGUUCUUUUGGGCAAAGGAAAAUUGAGUACCUCGGGCAUAUUAUCUCAGAAUUGGGAGUCGCUGCUAACCAGUCCAAAAUUGCAGCAAUGAGUGACUGGCCCAGACCAAAAAAUCUGAAGGAGCUGAGGAUUUCUAGGAUUAACAGGUUAUUACAGGCGGUUUGUGGAGGGGUAUGGGAAAAUGGCCUGGCCUCUUACUCAACUAUUAAAAAAGGAUGGUUUCGGAUGGAAUGACAUGGCUGAAGUUGCAUUCAAUAAACUUAAAGAGGCCAUGACAACAACUCCGGUAUUAGCCCUUCCAGAUUUUUCACAGCCUUUUAUUAUUGAAACUGAUGCUUCUGGUAUUGGUUUAGGUGCCGUUUUAAUGCAGAAUCAAAGACCUGUAGCCUAUUUCAGCCAGGUCCUUCCACCCAGGACUCAAGGAAAAUCUAUUUAUGAAAGGGAGCUUAUGGCAAUAGCUUUGGCAGUACAAAAAUGGAGACACUACCUUCUGGGAAGGCGAUUUGUGGUAAGAACAGAUCAGAAGAGCUUCAAAUUUCUCCUCGAACAGCGAGUGAUCAAUGAGGAGUAUCAGAAAUGGUUGACAAAAUUGUUGGGAUUCGACUUUGACAUCGAAUAUAAACCUGGGCUGGAGAACAGGGCAGCUGAUGCAUUAUCCAGAAAAGGAGGGACGGUAACAUUUAUGGCUCUCAGCAUUCCGGGUGUCUUGCAAAUAGAUGAAGUCAUUAGAGCACAAAUGGAGGAUCAGCAUAUGAGAAUAAUGAGGAAUGCCAUUAAGGAUAACUCGUUGUCUUACCCAGGCUAUACAAUUGUGCAAGAAGUCCUAUUAUACAAGGACAGAAUCACCAUACCAAAGGACUCUCCUUUGGUCCGACUGGCUCUACAGGAAGGACAUGAUAGCAAAAUUGGAGGACAUGGAGGAUUUCUUAAAACCUACAAGAGAAUGGUUGGCACAUUUUACUGGGUUGGCAUGAAGAAGGACAUUCGGGAGUAUGUGGCUGCUUGUGAAAUUUGCCAACAGUGCAAAUACUCAACAUUAACGCCAGCCGGCAUAUUACAACCCCUACCCAUUCCGGAACGGGUUUGGGAAGACAUAUCUAUGGACUUCAUAGAAGGUAUGCCUAAGUCGGAGGGAUUUGAUUCCAUUCUGGUAGUGGUGGAUCGACUAAGUAAGUAUGCUCAUUUCAUUGGACUUAAACAUCCAUUCACCGCACCCUCAGUCGCUUCAAUCUUUAUCAAGGAAAUCGUUCGUUUACACGGGAUGCCACGCUCCAUAGUAUCUGACAGAGACAAAGUAUUUCUAAGCAAAUUCUGGAGCGAAAUGUUUCGUCUGCAGGGGACAAAAUUAAAGCACAGUUCGGCCUAUCACCCUCAAACCGAUGGCCAGACAGAAGUGGUGAAUCGGAGUGUCGAAACAUAUCUGCGCUGUUUUGCUACAUUCAGACCUAAGGAAUGGCAUCGUUUUCUGGCUUGGGCAGAACUCUCAUACAACACAUCUUUCCAUGUAUCCGCACAUUUGACACCCUUUCGCAUACUGUAUGGGAGAGAUCCCCCAACUCUGUUGCCAUUUGAGAAGGGCACCACCAUUGUUUCUUCCUUGGAUCAACAAUUGGUAGAACGUGACAGGGUCCUGGAGGAACUCAAGAUUCACUUGCUGAGAGCUCAACAGCAAAUGAAAAACAUGGCUGAUAAGCAUCGACGGUUGGUUGAAUUCUCUACGGGUGAUUUAGUCUAUUUGAAGAUGAGGCCGUAUCGGCGCAAAACACUAGCACACCGAAUCAAUGAGAAGCUAGCGCCUCGCUACUAUGGACCUUUUAAAAUUGUGGCUAAGGUCGGGACAGUUGCCUAUAAACUAGAGCUGCCGCCGGGGACCGCAAUUCAUCCAGUCUUUCAUGUUUCAUAGCUACGAAGAGCAGUUGGGGAACAUCAUCUGACCACUCAACUACCACUGAACCUUGGUGCAAACUGGGAACUAACAGUAGAGCCAGAAACAGUUUUGGGUGCCCGAGCUAUUCCAACCAGUGAUGCUGAGGAUAGGGAAGUACUGAUUAAAUGGAAAGGACUGCCUCCAAUGGAAGCCACCUGGGAACCUUACAGCCUAAUCAACCAACAAUUUCCCACCUUCCACCUUGAGGACAAGGUGGCUGAAUUGGGGAGGGUGAUUGAUAGGCCCCCAAUCACGCACAUGUAUUCUAGAAGAAUCAAGAGAAGGGGAGGGAGUGGGGGUAGUAACUAAUUCUGUUAGGAAUCUGUUUUGGCACACUUAUAAAUAAGAGGGGAGAAAGGAGGAGAGGUAUGACCUGAUUGAUGUAAGUGCCAUUUAGGAGAGAUCCGGCCCUCUCGAAAGGCUGCCUAUUAUCAUUUAGUUGCUGUAACUCGUUGUUUUCAUUACUAUAAAAGUUCUUCUAGCUUCCAUAUACCAUUGUUGCUGUGUCCCAUCACUAUUUUCCAUUUUUAUCCCAUCAAUCUACCAAUCAUAAGUUCCAUACUUAGUAGAGCCCAGUUAAUCAAUCAAGAAAGCCU